UUCUGUGUUCCCUUCACCCUUCAGGAUCCCCCUUUCCUCCUAUCCGCCGUCAAACCCGAGACUCAGCGCAGGGAGCGGCCCCCGCACCCUGAGGGCACCGCUGGGGGCGGAGAGUUAAAAACACGGAGGGGAAGACGCUCCGCUCCGGUGGAAAAGAGGGGAGCAUGGCGGGCAUGAGAUCACAGUGAGGAGCACUGUCUGGAGCUAGAGCACCUAAGGAGAGCUGGGAUGAUAGCCAGGGCUUCUGAUAUACAAGAGCAAUGGCGACGAGUGAGGAGAGCUAUCAUCUUUGUGAAGGUACAGGAGAAGCUGGGGUCAGGGAUGGGACAGGAGGAGAGGAAAUAAGGCAAAGAUGAGCUCAGGGCCCCCAGAGAAUGGAGCCUUUGUGUGGGGUACGGAUGAGGGACAAGGGGGUGAUUGUGUGGGAGGGCCGGAAGUUCCACGCAGACUGGCACCACCAUAGCCAGCAUUGGAUUCGCCCUUCUGCCCUGACGACUCCCUCUAUACCAAGUGGCUAGGAUGUACCUGAUGGUUACAGAGGAUGGAAAGGGCAGCCAAGUGAAUAUGCAGCCAGGAAAAGUAAGGUAUCACCCCAAAUCCAGAGAACAGGAGGCAGAGGGGAAAAAGACAGAAGCAGCUUUUACUAUAUUUACAUCCAACAAAACUUUGCAGAGAACAAUCCUUAUUGCACAGGUCAAGGCCAUGGAUGGGAGAGGCAUUCCCCAAGGUGGAGUGGACAAGAAGGAUCGGGACUAGAAGAGGCACAAGUUCUUCCCCAGGGAAGCCUGGGACUCUUCUGCAUCCCAGUGCACGGCUCUCAAGGAGCUACAAACCCAAUUCCCUUCUUUCUUACGCUCCUUGAGAAUCUCCUAAGUAUAGGAGCUGUGGCCUCGGAAUAAAUAACUAAAUAAAAUACAACACUAA